rnacentral:rRNA from 1 species
UACGUAGGGUGCGAGCGUUAAUCGGAAUUACUGGGCGUAAAGCGUGCGCAGGCGGUUUUGUAAGACAGAUGUGAAAUCCCCGGGCUCAACCUGGGAAUGGCAUUUGGGACUGCAAGGCUGGAGUACGGCAGAGGAGACUGGAAUUCCUGGUGUAGCAGUGAAAUGCGUAGAUAUCAGGAGGAAUACCGAUGGCGAAGGCAGGUCUCUGGGCUGAUACUGACGCUCAUGCACGAAAGCGUGGGGAGCAAACAGG